CAGAAAUAGUACUUCCGUUUCUCCAUAAACCUAGAAUGUGCUCCUAAUUGAAGGUAUACAGUUUGCUUUUGGUAAAAGUGAAGAAAAUGCAAAGAACAUAUCGUGUUUGCAUCUAUUGAUGCAGUCAUUGAGUUAAUUCUCUCUUGACUGAAUAGUUUAGGAAGCCUGUCAAAUGAUGCACUGAUUUAGGAACAUAACAUAUAGAAAAAGCUAUUGCAAAGGGAGACACAUCAUUGUUUAAUAUAUAGAUGUUAUCAAGAAAUCGAGCCAUGAGCCAG